ACCAAACAAACAAGGAUUUAUGCAGACAUAUUUUCACUUGUGCAUGCAUAGACAUCUCUCGUAGGGUGUACAUGAAGCUGGGAUGAAAGAGGCAGACAUGAAGACAAUGGGACAACAUAAAAACAAUGAGCUAUGAAGAACCAACACUGUGAAGCAUGUGACACAGGUCCCUCCUAAAGGCCUAUGUGGGAGAGCAGCCAGAGGACUAACUUCCCACGAGUUCCAGCUGUUCACCUGCCACCCAGAGAAGCCUUACACCAGGGACAUGGUGAAUUUCAGAUCACUCAAGCUGCCUCCUACUGAAAGCCUCAGCCUUUUCCUUGGCUCUCCUUCCUCAGGGUUCACAGUGGUGGAAAGUAAGAAGAACAUGUUUCUGGAGUUAAACCAUCUUACAUCAUCAGGACAGAAUUUCCUCUAUGUGGUAUGUGGGUUUGCCACUUUAAAGACUAUCUAAACCAGUCAGGUUGAUCCUUAGAGCUGAGGCAGGACUCUUGGCAGGGUAGGUGCCCGUUUCGUCGAUGAAGUCUUAAAUACCAAAUACUAGUUUUCCCUUGCUGUAAACAAAACAAAACAAAACAAAACACCAUGACCAAGGCAACUUAUACAAGACAGAGAUUAUUUGGGCUUAUGGUUCCAGAGGGUUAGAUUCCAUCAUGGUGGGAAGCAGGGCAGUGGGAACGGGGUGCUGAGAGAACAGAGCCUUUAUUCUAAGCACAAGACAGAGAGAGGACACUGGAAGUGUCAUGACCAUGAGGCUUUUAAUCUCAGCACCCAUCUCCAAUGACAUAUUCCUUCUAGCAAGGCUGCACCUCCUAAACCUCCCCCAAACAUUGCCACCAACUGGAGACCAAGUGUUAUAUCUGAGCCUGUGGGGACACUCUCAUCCAAUUAACAACACACCAUAAAAAGGAAGACUGGAAUGGCCAUUUGUUCAUCUUCGAAAUUACCCUUUACCCCCAGGCAUUUUUAAAUGUCUUUACUAAGGAGUAAAGGGACACUGAUCUUGA